AUUAAAGAGUUCUAUAACUCCCAAACCCAUGUGAACAUACCUAACGUUGCCUCGGCAGGUCGCACCUACCUUGUAGCACCCUACCCUGUAGGGCCUACCCGGGAGGUGCGGGUAAGCCUGCCGGCGGCCCACCAAACUCUGUUUGAUAUUGAAUUCUGAACCUAUAACUAAAUAAGUUAAAACUUUCAACAACGGAUCUCUUGGUUCUGGCAUCGAUGAAGAACGCAGCGAAAUGCGAUAAGUAAUGUGAAUUGCAGAAUUCAGUGAAUCAUCGAAUCUUUGAACGCAUAUUGCGCCCAUUAGUAUUCUAGUGGGCAGGACCGUUCGAGCGUCAUUUCAACCCUUAAGCCUUCGUUGCUUAGUGUUGGGAGCCUACGGCAACGUAGCUCCUCAAAGUUAGUGGCGGAGUUGGUUCACACUCUAGACGUAGUAAUUUUUUAUCUCGCCUAUUAGUUGGACUAAUCCCCUGCCGUAAAACCCCCAAUUUAUCAAGGUUGACCUCGAAUCGGUUCAGACAAACUCGCUAAAUUGAAGCAUCUUAGUCAGCGAAGGAAAAGAAACCAACAGGGAUUGCCCUAGUAACGGCGAGUGAAGCGGCAACAGCUCAAAUUUGAAAUCUGGCCCUCGGGUCCGAGUUGUAAUUUGUAGAGGAUGCUUUUUGGCGCGGUGCCUUCCGAGUUCCCUGGAACGGGACGCCUUAGAGGGUGAGAGCCCCGUACGGUUGGA
rnacentral:rRNA from 1 species